UUUACUCCCUCCUUAGCAAUUUUUUGUUUUCCCCUUCGAAACAUUCUUAUCUCUUAUCUCUAUCACCACUCUCUCUCGCGUCUCGACUACCCCUCUCUCUCUCGAUUCUCUCUUUCACAGCUCUCUCUGUCAAGAACACUUCUGCUCUUGGCUUUCUCUUGCUCCUCACCGCCCCGGCUUUCCUCACCGCUGCAUACCUCUGCUUUUCUCACCGCUUUGCUCUACUCUCUUCCUUUACGUUUAGCUCUCUCCGCUCGGCUCUCUCUCUAUUUCAGUUAAGUUUCUCUCUUCUCUUGUUAAUAUAUUGGAAAGUGGAAUUGAUCUUUUCUUCUUAUAAUCGAGCCCUAGUUUUUUAAAUCAAAACCCUAGUUCUUCUUUGUUGUGUGUUGGGGUAGAUAGCGGUUAUCUAGUAAAGUAUAUCCUCUUCCCAGAACUAUAUAAAUCACGAGAGUAUAUGGAGGCAGAGGAAACGGGAGGCCUAGAUCCGCUUCUCGGGAUCUGCCAUCUCUUCACUUAGAUGCUCGAAUCUGCUACUUGGGCAUGCCUAUUGUACCAGCAGUUACGGAGCUUCUUGUUGCUCAGUUUAUGUGUGGAUUAUGAUAAUCUAUAAAAGCCUAUAUAUCUUUACAUUAAUUCAUCAGGGACAUAGGUAAUUUCUUUAGUUUUUUGCACUAAUCUUUUCCUUUAAUGACUAUAAGCUGACAUUUGAGGAUUUUUCCUGUUAAAGCCAAAUCCAAAUGGACCUGUCUACUUAGGAGCUUCUGUUUUGGACCGUCAAGUUUUCUUUCCAUAUGGUACUGGUACUUGAUAGGGGUGGCAGUAUUAUUUGGAUUAGUAUUUGUCUUUAACGGAUUCUUCUUAAUGGCACUUCAGUUUCUCAACCGUAAACAUACUCUUUAUUUAAGUACUGAUAUUUUGGACAGGCUUUAAUCUCAGCAUAUUUAAUUACUCAUGUGCUUGUGUUCCAGUUUGCGUUUUGAUCAAUUAAGAUGGAGACUAAUGGAUGGAACGUUUUUACCACAGAUUCCUCCUAACACAACAUAGCCAGUCUACUAGGAAUCAUAACUUUGAAAUCACGAGUGUUCUUCACCAGCGCAUCUUGCUAUUAGAUAAGAGUUGGGACAUUUUUGGAUUUGUAUGAUCAAGUUCUAUUGUUAGUAAUAUUUUAAGUUACUAGUGUCUUAAUAGUUUGGUAUAUUUUUGUUAAGUGAUGUAGUAAUUAAUAUUGCUCGAUUUAUGUAUAUGAUUUUGCGGAUUGAAUUUAUAGAUUUGUAUAGGUGGUUUUUCAAAUACUUGUAGUUAUUUGGUUUGUUUUUUGGAUUGAA